ensembl:lncRNA
CUCAAAUCGGGUCGUGUUCAACGUCGAGAUCUCAAACCCUGAAUCGUGCUCUCGUGUUCCGGAGGUACGUUUCCACGCAAGACCGUCGCCAGACCGAGCUGUCCCUUGUCCGAAUAUUAUAACGGGUCCGCGUGGGACGCGUCCCAACGCACCGUCCUCCCCAGAGAAACGCGUCCGCGUUAGGACGCGGUUCUCUGGGGAGGACUGGUUUGUGAGACUCGCGGUUCACGACUUUCUUCACAGCUUUAUCUCUGUGAUGGGAUGGCGGCAAAGCAACCCAUUGGCUCAAAGGUGGAUUACGUGCAGUUCAAUAGUUUAUUGAAUAGUAGCGGUCACAUAAAAAUAAGAGGAAGCGGAUCAGGGCCAUAUGUGAUGUAUAUAUUUUUUUAGUUUUUAAUGUAAUGGUCUCAUGACAUGCCACCAGGUGUGAUUGAUUAGCCUUACAAGCUGUUCUGAAAAUCUGGCUUUAUUGACAACACAAGUGGCCGUGUCCGCCUAGUUGUGUGCUGGAUAGAUCAGCCUACCAACCUACCCGGUGGACUGUAGAAAACGUGGCUCGCUCAGCUAUCCGUCACAAAUCUAGGUGGACACGCCCUCUUUUGAUGUCAUAAGAGCCCGGUUUUCUAAACGGCUUGUUAGGCUAAUCACCCUCACACCUGUAGGCAUGUCAUGGGACCGUUCAAGUUUUAAGUGAGAAUUUUCACUUUGAACUAAGAUCUAAAAAAGUUCACAUGAGACCCUUUUCCUUUUCUGUACAAUGAUGCAAUCAACACCCAACAAGGGGAAAACGAAUCGUCUAUUUAUUCGUAAUAAGGGACCGGUUUCAAUAAGGGGGGGGGGUAUACAGUGCGUGACAUCACAUCUGUAAAGGAGGGGCCAGCAUGUUGUCGAAUCUCCUUGGAAUCAUAUCAGCUGAUCAGGAGGGGCUGUCAUCCUUUUCACCGGCGGGCCGUCGACCGCCAUCAUAGUCACAGCAGAGACGUCUCCCGCUGCGACAGGCCGGCGCGAGGGACACCGAGCGGGGGGCAUCGGGACGGACUGCGGACAGCUCGAUCGGGAGCAGCCCUGGCGGGGGUUGGCGUGGCGACGGCGGAGCCUGCAGCAGCCUCAGCGCCUCCCGCCAGCAGCUUCGGCAGCGGGAUGGACGGGAUGCAGAACCGCAGUGACGCCAGUUCCCUCCAACAUCCGGGUGUUUCUGCUCAUGGUAGCUAGCGCGAGGGAAACGUGGCCCCCGCUGCGUCCUCAGGAGGCACCUGUUCACGCGCAGGCUCAACAGCAGCAGCUGUUGACUCCUGCGGUGACCAGAGGCAACUGGGAUUAUGACCACAGGCAACUGGGAGAUUUUUUGGACACGCUGGGACACUAGGUUCUGCUUUGAGAGGGAAUGUGUGAUUUCCCCCCCUAAAAAUCUGUCAAUGUCGUUGGUGUUCACAAUGUUGUUGGAGAUACACACUGAGUGCCAGAGCGGUAUCUCUCUCUCUCUCUCUCUCUCUCUCUC